AGCCAUUUUCAACAGAUUUUUGGAUGACACUCUUUUCUCUUUUCAAGCUUAUUCUUCUCUUUCAUUUUUUUUUUCUUUUCCUUUUUUUUCCUCUUCUUUUUCCUUUGAUUUUUCUUGGUAUUUUUGUGGGAAAUUAAAGCAAACAAAGGAGAUUCAAUCAAGAAGUUGGAGAAGUUUUAGAAAAAAUCUAGAAUAAUUUUAUCAUCUUCAAAAAUUAAUCGAAGGGAGUUCUAUCUCUUCUAUUGUGUUUAAUCCACUUUUUCUCCAAAUUUGUAAUGAAUGUAAUGAAUAUCCUCCUUCACUAUCAUAUAUAUGAUAUGGGCUAAUUUAUCAUAUUGAGAUUUAUGGUAGUAAUUUAACUUAACUUUAAUUAAUUUUAAUAUUUGCUCUCUAAUUUUACAAUAUUUAUUUUCAUGUGUAUUUAUUAUUGUGUUG
rnacentral:lncRNA from 1 species